rnacentral:rRNA from 2 species
CGAAAGCCUGACGGAGCGACGCUGCGUGAAGGAUGACGGCCUGCGGGUUGUAAACUUCUUUUCUCGAAGAAGAAUAAAUGACGGUAUUCGAGGAAUAAGCAUCGGCUAACUCUGUGCCAGCAGCCGCGGUAAGACAGAGGAUGCAAGUGUUAUUCGGAUUGAUUGGGCGUAAAGCGUCUGUAGGCGGUUUGGAAAGUCUUUUGUGAAAUUCUUCAGCUCAACUGGGGGUCCGCAAAAGAAACUUCUAGGCUUGAGGGAAGUAGAGGUACAGGGAAUUUCCGGUGGAGCGGUGAAAUGCGUAGAUAUCGGAAGGAACACCAAUAUGGCGAAGGCACUGUACUGGGCUUUACCUGACGCUAAGAGACGAAAGCUAAAGGAGUGAUUAGGAUUAGAUACCCUAGUAAUUUUAGCCGUAAACGAUGGAAACUCACUGCCGAGCCGGUAUUCGGAGCGGUGGUCAAGCUAACGCGUGAAGUUUCCCGCCUGGGGACUACGCAUGCAAAUGUGAAACUCAAAGGAAUUGACGGGGACCCGCACAAGCGGUGGAGUAUGUGGUUUAAUUCGAUGCAACGCGAAAAACCUUACCARGGUUUGAAAUCAUUUCAAAACUCUUUGAAAGAAGAGCCUCCUUCGGGAUGGAAUGACAGGUGGUGCAUGGCUGUCGUCAGCUCGUGUUGUGAAAUGUCAAGUUAAGUCUUGUAACGAGCGCAACCCAUGUCUUUUGUUGCUGUUUACAGUGCUUAAAAGAGACUGCCGCUCUACAGCGGAGGAAGGUGUGGAUGAUGUCAAGUCAGCAUGCCCCUUAUAUCUUGGGCUACACACGUACUACAAUGGUAGGGACAAUGAGUCGCAAACCUGCGAAGGCUAGCCAAUCUCAAAAACCCUAUCUCAGUUCGGAUUGUAC